GACGAACGCUGGCGGCGUGCUUAACACAUGCAAGUCGAACGGAAAGGCCCUGCUUUUGUGGGGUGCUCGAGUGGCGAACGGGUGAGUAACACGUGAGUAACCUGCCUUAGACUUUGGGAUAACUUCAGGAAACUGGGGAUAAUACCGGAUAGGAGCUCCUGCUGCAUGGUGUGGGUGGGAAAGGUUCGGCGGUUGGGGAUGGACUCGCGGCUUAUCAGCUUGUUGGUGGGGUAGUGGCUUACCAAGGCUUUGACGGGUAGCCGGCCUGAGAGGGUGACCGGCCACAUUGGGACUGAGAUACGGCCCAGACUCCUACGGGAGGCAGCAGUGGGGAAUAUUGCACAAUGGGCGGAAGCCUGAUGCAGCAACGCCGCGUGCGGGAUGACGGCCUUCGGGUUGUAAACCGCUUUCGCCAGUGACGAAGCGUGAGUGACGGUAAUGGGUAAAGAAGCACCGGCUAACUACGUG
rnacentral:rRNA from 1 species